UAAAAGCAGCAAAUCUAAAAGUAGUAAAGAAGGGCAAGCAUCCUAUGAAGGUGCAAGGUGAUGUUCAGAAAAUAUUGAAAGGCUGUUUUA